GUUUUUUUUUUUUUUUUUUUUUUUAUUUUUUUUUUUUUUUUUUUUUUGCGGAUUCACGGAUUUCUACAGAUUUACAGAAGUAAAUCCAUAUCCAAUCCAUUGACUGCGGAUUUUUAAAUUUUCAAUCCAUCCAAUCCACCAAUCCACGGAUCGGAUUCAGCGGAUCGGACGGAUUCAGCGGAUCGGAUUGGAUUCUGAACACCCCUACUCGUUGGUGCUUUCAAGUAUUUAUUAUAAAUAAUUGCAAAGCCAAUUAUUUAUUAUCUAUAAUGAAACUGAAAUUUCUCUCCGCAUGAAAAUAGAGUGAAAGCGAGGAAAGAG
rnacentral:lncRNA from 1 species